rnacentral:rRNA from 1 species
UACGUAGGGUGCGAGCGUUAAUCGGAAUUACUGGGCGUAAAGCGUGCGCAGGCGGUCUGUUAAGACAGAUGUGAAAUCCCCGGGCUUAACCUGGGAACUGCAUUUGUGACUGGCAGGCUAGAGUAUGGCAGAGGGGGGUAGAAUUCCACGUGUAGCAGUGAAAUGCGUAGAGAUGUGGAGGAAUACCGAUGGCGAAGGCAGCCCCCUGGGCCAAUACUGACGCUCAUGCACGAAAGGCGUGGGGAGCAAACAGGAU